UACGGGGGGGAGCAAGCGUUGUUCGGAUUUACUGGGCGUAAAGGGCGCGUAGGCGGCCACCGCAAGUCAAUUGUGAAAUCUCCGGGCUUAACUCGGAAAGGUCAACUGAUACUGCGGGGCUAGAGUGCGGAAGGGGCAACUGGAAUUCUUGGUGUAGCGGUGAAAUGCGUAGAUAUCAAGAGGAACACCUGCGGCGAAGGCGGGUUGCUGGGCCGACACUGACGCUGAGGCGCGAAAGCCAGGGGAGCGAACGGG
rnacentral:rRNA from 1 species